rfam:Nomascus leucogenys chromosome 7b, whole genome shotgun sequence.
CAGGAUGUGGUAUAUUGGGUAGCACGGAGAAUUUUGGAUUCUCACGGGUAGGUUCAAUUCCUGUAAUUCUAG